GCACUGCUGAUGAGACCCAACUAAGUCGAAACAGCUGUCCAGUGC
rfam:Echinostoma caproni strain Egypt genome assembly, scaffold: ECPE_scaffold0000335